rfam:Nicotiana attenuata strain TT scaffold02806, whole genome shotgun sequence.
UGGACAGAUUAUUGUAUUCGACUGUAUUCACGGCGUGAAACAGGGGAUUACACUAUUUUCAAACGGAAAGUGAAUCAAUUAACAUAAUAGACUCAU